UGAAUACGAGACGCUAAGGCGUCGAAGUAGUGUAUGUCAUACUUCCAAGAAAAGCUUGCACUGUCAUAGAUAAAAAACGCCUGUACCAUAACCGACACAGGUGGGUAGGUAGAGUAUACUAAGGGGCGCGAGAUAACUCUCUCUAAGGAACUCGGCAAAAUAACUCCGUAACUUCGGGAGAAGGAGUGCCUUAUUCGUAAGGUUGCAAUAACAAGAUCCAAGCAACUGUUUAUCAAAAACACAGGUCUCCGCUAAGUCGUAAGACGAUGUAUGGGGGCUGACGCCUGCCCAGUGCCAGAAGGUUAAAGAAGUUGGUUAGCGAUUGCGAAGCUGAUAACUGAAGCCCUGGUGAACGGCGGCCGUAACAAUAACGGUCCUAAGGUAGCGAAAUUCCUUGUCGGGUAAGUUCCGACCCGCACGAAAGGCGUAAUGAUUUGGAUACUGUCUCGGAGAGGGGCUCGGUGAAAUAGACUUGUCUGUGAAGAUGCGGACUACCUGCACCAGGACAGAAAGACCCUAUGAAGCUUUACUGUAACUUGAAAUUGAAAUUGGACUUUAUUCGCGCAGUAUAGGUGGGAGGCGUUGAUUAUAAUCUUGUGGGAUUAUUGGAGCCAUCAGUGAGAUACCACUCUUGUAAUGUUAGAUUUCUAACUUUGAAUCAUUAUCUGGUCAAAGAACAGUUUCAGGCGGGCAGUUUGACUGGGGCGGUCGCCUCCUAAACGGUAACGGAGGCGUACAAAGGUUUCCUCUGAACGGUUAGAAAUCGUAUCUAGAGUGUAAAGGCAUAAGGAAGCUUGACUGUGAGACCUACAAGUCGAGCAGGGACGAAAGUCGGUCUUAGUGAUCUGACGGUACUGAGUGGAAAGGCCGUCACUCAACGGAUAAAAGUUACUCUAGGAUAACAGGCUGAUCUCCCCCAAGAGUUCACAUCGACGGGGAGGUUUGGCACCUCGAUGUCGGCUCAUCGCAUCCUGGGGCGGUAGUACGUCCCAAGGGUUGGGCUGUUCGCCCAUGAAAGCGGUACGCGAGCUGGGUUCAGAACGUCGUGAGACAGUUCGGUCCAUAUCCGGUGUAGGCGUUAGAAUAUUGAGAGGAGCCUUCUUUAGUACGAGAGGACCGAGAAGGACAUACCUCUGGUGUACCAGUUAUCGUGCCAACGGUAAACGCUGGGUAGCUAUGUAUGGAGUGGAUAACCGCUGAAAGCAUCUAAGUGGGAAGCCCACCUCAAGAUAAG
rnacentral:rRNA from 1 species